rnacentral:tRNA from 1 species
CGGAUGUGGCUCAGUGGUAGAGCAUCACCUUGCCAAGGUGAGGGUCGCGGGUUCGAAUCCCGUCAUCCG